rnacentral:rRNA from 1 species
CGGUGUUUAACUGGCGUGAUGUGGGACGUCCUACCGGUGGGCUUAGCCUCGCGAGGGGCGGCCCAACUAAUAUCCCGUCGCGGUGCUCUUUACUGAGUGUCGAGUCGGGCCGGUACGUUUACUUUGAACAAAUUAGAGUGCUUAAAGCAGGCUAUCCUCGCCUGAAUACUGCGUGCAUGGAAUAAUGGAAUAGGACCUCGGUUCUAUUUUGUUGGUUUUCGGAACCCCGAGGUAAUGAUUAAUAGGGACAGAUGGGGGCAUUCGUAUUGCGACGUUAGAGGUGAAAUUCUUGGAUCGUCGCAAGACGGACAGAAGCGAAAGCAUUUGCCAAAAAUGUUUUCAUUAAUCAAGAACGAAAGUUAGAGGUUCGAAGGCGAUCAGAUACCGCCCUAGUUCUAACCAUAAACGAUGCCAGCUAGCGAUCCGCCGAAGUUCCUCCGAUGACUCGGCGGGCAGCUUCCGGGAAACCAAAGCUUUUGGGUUCCGGGGGAAGUAUGGUUGCAAAGCUGAAACUUAAAGGAAUUGACGGAAGGGCACCACCAGGAGUGGAGCCUGCGGCUUAAUUUGACUCAACACGGGAAACCUCACCAGGCCCAGACACCGGAAGGAUUGACAGAUUGAUAGCUCUUUCUUGAUUCGGUGGGUGGUGGUGCAUGGGCCGUUCUUAGUUGGUGGAGCGAUUUGUCUGGUUAAUUCCGAUAACGAACGAGACUCUAGCCUGCUAAAUAGGCGUACCUUAUGGUAUCGCGAAGGCCCCCGGCUUCGGCCGGUGGGUUUUUACUACCAACGUACAAACAAAUCUUUUUAGAGGGACAGGCGG